rnacentral:lncRNA from 1 species
UUUUUUUUUUCCUAAAUGUUUGGUUUCCAUGUGGAAAUCCAGUAUGUAUUUUCACAGUAAAAGACACUAUAAGAAUCUCUUCCUUCCUCAGAAUAGGCUAAUUUUCAUCUUUAUAUGGCUAGGAGUUCCAGAAGUUCAACCUUAAGGACAUGCAUAAUAUAAUAUUCCCAAAGGUAUAGAAUUCAAUGCUGACCUCAACAUUUAGUGAGCCAGUGGGGUUUUUUCUUUUUUUUUUUUUUUUUUUAGUAUGAAGGCACAGUGGUAAGACAUAUCUCAAAGUUUAAGGAUAUGCUGAUUUGUCACCCGCCCCCCCAAAAAAUUGCAAAGCUCUCCAUGCAAAAUCUACAAGUGUGUGAACCAGGACAUUCUAGUAGAAACAAACGGGAUCAAUCUUACAUUUUGUUUAGCCUGAUACCUAAAGAAACAGUAACUAUCAUAAUUUUCAGGAGAAAAUACAUGACCAGCAUGGCAGAAUUCUGUCCAGUAAAUGUCAAGGUUUUAAUAACAUCUUUAGAAGUUUGAAAACAGCCCACAGACAGAAUAACCAGCAGGAAGAGAGAGAUUUAGAUCAAAAUGAGAAAAAUAUGGAUAUGCUAAUUUUGGAACUAGUCAUGUUACAAAUCUCUGAGGACAUUUGAAAUUAAAAUUUAUUUAUGGCAAGAAAAAACCCAUGGUUGUGAUCUUUAGAAAAAUUCCAAAGUGUGUGUUGUUAAGAGAGUUAAUGCAAUGAGGGGAGUUACAAGACAAACUGACGUUGCCUGCUGAAUGACUGUGCAAAACAGAAGCAAUCUGUAUAGCAUUAGUUCCUUCAGAAGGAAGUAUAAUGAAGUUUUUGUCUCAGAUUAGGUGUUUUCAAAAUCCACCUGUGCUGGAAGUGUUACAAAUUCCAUUCCAAAGCAGUCGGGAGAACAGGAAUAUGGAUAGAAGUCUCUCCAUAAUAAAGCAGGAGGUAAAAUAGUCAAUUUCAUUUCAGUGGAGCUACAUUUCCAUUUGUUCUAGAUUAAGUUCGAUUGAACUGUGACAGAGAAAGAAGAGAUUUAGAUGCUAGUGACAAAGAGAGAGAGAGCAUUCAUCCAUUCUGAAUAAGAUACUUGUCUAAAAUCUACAUCCAGGCAAGAUUACUCAAAGAUUCUACACAGAACUUUGCUGCCUUAUUAAAACCAAGCCACCUUCCUGGGGAUAUUUGUUUAAUGUUCUGAAGACGUUCUCUUCAAAUGCACAUUUAGUGUCUGUACAGGACUUUCAGCACUCUUGCAAUACAGCUCUUAAUGUUCUUUAACUCUCAAUAAUGAUGAAGACUAGAUAGAGAUUAUGGAAUCUGACUGUUUUUCUCUGUGUGGUUGAAGUUAAAGGAAUCAUUGGCUUUUACUUGCUGAAUUAAAAAAAAAAAAGAAAGAAAAAAAAAGAAAAAAACAAAACCCACGCGCACACACAAUAACAACCAAAGCAAAACAAACAAACAAACAAACAAAAACCCAGGAAACCAAAACAAAAACAGGAAAGAAAAGCUAGGUAAUUCAAUUUCAUUCUAAAUAGUAACCAAAAAAAAAAAAAUCACUGAAUUUAAAAAGAAUUUAGAAAUAGUUUGGUUUCUGUGACUAGAUUCUCAAAUCUGCACUUAUUGGACAACUGAAAUAUCUAACGGAAAUAUAAUGCCUGGAUCUAACAUCAAAUUCCACUCCCGACCCUUUCCUGCCUUCCUAUUAUUG